GACGAACGCUGGCGGCGUGCUUAACACAUGCAAGUCGAACGGAAAGGCCCUGCUUUUGUGGGGUGCUCGAGUGGCGAACGGGUGAGUAACACGUGAGUAACCUGCCCUUGACUUUGGGAUAACUUCAGGAAACUGGGGCUAAUACCGGAUAGGAGCUCCUGCUGCAUGGUGGGGGUUGGAAAGUUUCGGCGGUUGGGGAUGGACUCGCGGCUUAUCAGCUUGUUGGUGGGGUAGUGGCUUACCAAGGCUUUGACGGGUAGCCGGCCUGAGAGGGUGACCGGCCACAUUGGGACUGAGAGAGGGCCCAGACGCCUACGGGAGGCAGCAGGGGGGAAUAUUGCACAAUGGGCGGAAGCCUGAUGCAGCAACGCCGCGUGCGGGAUGACGGCCUUCGGGUUGUAAACCGCUUUCGCAUGUGACGAAGCGUGAGUGACGGUAAUGGGUAAAGAAGCACCGGCUAACUACGUG
rnacentral:rRNA from 1 species